rnacentral:rRNA from 1 species
GACGAACGCUGGCGGCGUGCCUAAUACAUGCAAGUAGAACGCUGAAGAGAGGAGCUUACUCUUCUUGGAUGAGUUGCGAACGGGUGAGUCACGCGUAGGUACCCUGCCUUGUAGCGGGGGAUAACUAUUGGAAACGAUAGCUAAUACCGCAUAACAAUGGAUGACACAUGUCAUUUAUUUGAAAGGGGCAAUUGCUCCACUACAAGAUGGACCCGCGUUGUAUUAGCUAGUAGGUGAGGUAAUGGCUCACCUAGGCGACGAUACAGAGACGACCUGAUAGGGUGAGCAGCCACACUGGGACUGAGACACGGCCCAGACGCCUACAGGAGGCAGCAGUAGGGAAACGUCGGCAAUGGGGGCAACCCUGACCGAGCAACGCCGCGUGAGUGAAGAAGGUUUUCGGAUCGGAAAGCUCUGUUGUAAGUCAAGAACGGGUGUGAGAGUGGAAAGUUCACACUGUGACGGUAGCUUACCAGAAAGGAACGGCUAACUACGUG